AUUGAACGCUGGCGGCAGGCCUAACACAUGCAAGUCGAACGAGUGGCGGACGGGUGAGUAAUGUCUGGGAAACUGCCUGAUGGAGGGGGGUAACUACUGGAAACGGUAGCUAAUACCGCAUACCAUCGGAUGUGCCCAUAUGGGAUUAGCUUGUAGGUGGGGUAACGGCUCACCUAGGCGACGAUCCCUAGCUGGUCUGAGAGGAUGACCAGCCACACUGGGACUGAGAAACGGUCCAGACUCCUACGGGAGGCAGCAGUGGGGAAUAUUGCACAAUGGGCGCAAGCCUUAUACAGCCAUGCCGCGUGUAUGAAGAAGGCCUUCGGGUUGUAAAGUACUUUCAGCGAGGAGGCGUUACCGACAGAAGAAGCACCGGCUAACUCCGUGCCAGCAGCCGCGGUAAUUC
rnacentral:rRNA from 1 species